rnacentral:misc_RNA from 1 species
GAAAUGCGAUAAGUAAUGUGAAUUGCAGAAUUCAGUGAAUCAUCGAAUCUUUGAACGCACAUUGCGCCCGCCAGUAUUCUGGCGGGCAUGCCUGUUCGAGCGUCAUUACAACCCUCAGGCCCCCGGGCCUGGCGUUGGGGAUCGGCGGAAGCCCCCUGCGGGCACAACGCCGUCCCCCAAAUACAGUGGCGGUCCCGCCGCAGCUUCCAUUGCGUAGUAGCUAACACCUCGCAACUGGAGAGCGGCGCGGCCACGCCGUAAAACACCCAACUUCUGAAUGUUGGCCUCGGAUCGGGUAGGAAUACCCGCUGAACUUAAGC